UUUGCAAAAACAAAAUCUGAUAAAUUUCUCAGCAGUCUUGCCAUGUUGGUAAUAAAAACCACUGGGUGGAAUUGUACUGAUACCCUGCAAAAACACUCAACUAUCAAUAGAAUAGGAAUAAUUUAUUCGUUUCCCUCUUCCCCUUCAUCCACCCCCCUUCUCCCGGCACAUUGAAAGGGGGAGUCUUUUAUAAAUUUGCGAUAAUAGUACGAAAGUUGGUCAAAUAUUUGUUAGCCUGUG